rnacentral:rRNA from 1 species
CCUACGGGAGGCUGCAGUGGGGAAUAUUGGACAAUGGGCGAAAGCCUGAUCCAGCCAUGCCGCGUGUGUGAAGAAGGCCUUCGGGUUGUAAAGCACUUUCAGUGGGGAAGAAAGCCUUGGGGCUAAUACCCUCGAGGAAGGACAUCACCCACAGAAGAAGCACCGGCUAACUCCGUGCCAGCAGCCGCGGUAAUACGGAGGGUGCGAGCGUUAAUCGGAAUUACUGGGCGUAAAGCGCGCGUAGGCGGUCUGAUAAGCCGGUUGUGAAAGCCCCGGGCUCAACCUGGGAACGGCAUCCGGAACUGUCGGGCUAGAGUGCAGGAGAGGAAGGUAGAAUUCCCGGUGUAGCGGUGAAAUGCGUAGAGAUCGGGAGGAAUACCAGUGGCGAAGGCGGCCUUCUGGACUGACACUGACGCUGAGGUGCGAAAGCGUGGGUAGCAAACAGGAUUAGAUACCCGGGUAGUC